AAGAAGGAUUAAAAAAAUACAUAAGUGAAAGGAGACUGAAGAAUUAUAAGUGAAAGGAGACUGAAGAAUUAUAAGUGAAAGGAGACUGAAGAAUUAUAAGUGAAAGUUGACUGAAAAAAAAAAGUAUCAGAAGAAGAUUGAAAAAGUUAUUUGUCAGAGAAGAUUUGACAGAAAAAAAAACUCUUAGAUUCCCCAAAGUCUUAUUGAGAAGGUAGCAACGCGGAGCCAUGUCACCUGUCACUAAAACCCUUAGCUUCUUCGCAGGUGUGAUGCUGGUGGUGCAAUUUGUACAGCCAGCUGCAAUUCGAUGUGAACGAAAUCAGUUCUACAUAAACGAGACCGCCGGUGAUGUCAUUGCCAGCCAUCCUGCCUUCGAAUUUCUAUGCCCAUUCAAGGUCCAUCCAAACGGCAGUCUUUACAUGGAAGCAGGUCAACAACUUCCAGAAUCAGGGUACGAGUGUUGGCCACUAUACGCAUUUACCAGCUCGAACAAUAGGUAUGUCCUUGCCUAUAUUGCAAAGACAGAAAGGACAGAUUAAGUUGGAAGAGCUUCGCCACCUACAUCACAAUAGGCUGGUUAUGCAAGUCUUUAUCCCUCAGUAUCACAAGGGCGAAGAGGAAUGCAGAGAGAAUAGAGGAUGCAGGAAUAGGUUAGAGAAAGAAUAGACUAGUCGUGCAAAUCGUUUCGUUGUUGCUUUUAAUUUGGUCAGCUCUAGUACGCCAACUUUCUCGCAAGGAAAAGGGGAACCUAGUCAGAAUCCUCCUCAGGUCUCCUCCAGUUCAACCUACAGGGACCUUCGCAUUCCGUUCAUAAGAGUGACGGUCGUACUUUUCCUCCAGCCUAUACUUAUUUCAGAGGGAAGGGAUUUACAGCCCCUUCAUUAUCUCUUUUGCGAAUCCUGAAGUGUACAUAUUUCUCUAAGUACCUGAGCUUCUUGUGAGCUUGUUAUUGAUCCCUCCAUGGAAGGCGUCGAUGAAGAAAGGGUCGGGUACUUCUCACAUGCAGGCGUUUCCGUCGAAUACGUGUAUCUCAUCCAAAGGCUUUAAACACACUGAUGAUGGUUGUGGAAGGCAGCAUUUCCCCAGAUAGAUGUCAAAAUUUCCCUAAAUUGGUCACAAUUUCCCCAGAAUUGUACAACACUGCCUCAUUGUGUGUCAGCUUAUUUUACUUGUUAUUCCUGCUACUACUUGUAAAAUCCAUAAAACGGUAGCUAUAUAUUUUUGUAAUGAAACCACCUAGGCACAUUGAAAUAAAUAUGUUUGCUCAAAAAUACAGUUUUCUAUUUCCAUUAGACCAUCACAAAUCAGCAUAUCAGUGACAUAUCUUUUAGCAAAACUAUAUACCAGUAUACUUUGAAGAUAUAGGAAAAAAUAUGCCUUUUUGGACACUAGAAAAAGGAUAACAGUAGUAUGAUAUAGCAACAGCUUACAUAUUACGGCCAAGUUGAAAAAGAAGUGAGAAAUAUAUAAUCACAUUGUAAUUACACAUCACAAGGUACGAAAUUAAUGUUUAAUAAUUUGGCAUUACGCUUUGGUAAAAAAAAUAAUAAAAUACUGGCCUUAUUUCCACUGAAUAUCAUCUUCAUCCAUCACAGAAUGGGUGUAACAUAUAGAUUAACUAUGCUUUGGUAAGAAAAAGUAAAAUACCGGCCUUAUCACAGAAUGGGUGUAUAUGUAGAUUAGCCCUUUAUUGACUUGUAAUGAUAGUAUGACACAUUUUAUCGGAGUAAUCCUGAAUUAUUUCACUGAGCAAUGAUAACCUGAAAUUUCCCCAAAUUUGCCAGUUUCCCUAGAUUUGUCACUAAAAUUGAUGAAAUUUCCCAAUCUAGUGUCAUUUCCCCCAAAAGUGGGAGCCCUGCACCAGACCCGUGAUGGUAAAGUUAGUUAAAAGUUGUGAUGGUAAAGUUAGUUAAAAAGUUGUGAUAAGAAAGUUAGUUCAAGAAUUGUGACGGUAGAGUUAGUUCAAAAAUUAUGAUGGUAAAAUUAGUUCAAGAAUUGUGAUAGGAAAGUUAGUUCAAGAAUUGUGAUGGUAAAGUUAGUUCAAAAAUUGUGAUAGUAGAGUUAGUUGAAAAAUUGUGAUAUAAAUAUUAGUUUAAAAAUUGUGAUAUAAAUACGUUAGUUGAAAAAUUGUGAUAGAAAUAUUAGUUCAAAAAUUGUUAUGAUAGAGUUAGUUGAAAAAUUGUGAUAGAAAUAUUAGUUCAAAAAUUGUGAUGGUAGAGUUAGUUGAAAAAUUGUGAUGGAAAUAUUAGUUCAAAAAUUGUGAUAAAAAAUAGCUGAAAAUUUGUAAUAGAAAAAUUAGUUGAACAAGAAAGGAUUGAGCCAUUUUAAAAGGUUACUGUUGACGAUAAUCUGUCUGUGUGUUUCUGUUACUGUGUGUAAGUCUUGUCAAACCAAAACAAAAUAAUAAUAAUAAUAAUAAUAAUAAUAAUAAUAAUAAUAAUAAUAAUAAUAAUAAUAAUAAUAAUAAUAAUAAUAAUAAUAAUAAU